rnacentral:lncRNA from 1 species
ACUGGACACAUUAACCUUUAGCCAACUUGCAAAUGUUUUAAAACAGUUUAAAGGAUGCUGCCAAGCAACAGACUGGCUUGACAGACUGAAAAAAAAAAUUUAGAAAGAAAAAUAACUUCUGUCUUUAAACACGUUCUUUUUCUUGUUCCUAUUCUUAGGUAUAAUCUGUUGCUGUUCCUAUGAGGGAAAAGUAGAUCAGCACAGUAGAGAAGUGAGAAGAGCACGGAGAACACCGAGGUCCCACUAGUUCCAGGUGGAGGACUCUAACCGUCCUGAGCAGGUAGUCCUGAGUCAUGUGAGACAGCUGCCUGAGCGAGCCACAGAGAGCCAGCCAGUAAGCAGUGUUCUUCUGUGACUUCUGCUUCAGUUCCUGCCUGUAGGUUCCUGUCUGGAGUUCCUGCCCUUGCCUCAAAUGAUGGACUUAAAGCUGUAAGCUGAAGUGAGUACUUUAUCACAGCAAUGGAAAGCAACCCAGAGCAGUAUCUCAGUUACAGUACUGGGGUCACAGAUGAGUUGACGGUUUAACGUCCCCUCUGUUUUAUGAGAUGUUAUGGGGAGCACUGGGAAUAGCUCAUCUUUACAGCUCUGGUAGAACUCAGCACCAACUCUCUACAGUCCUGGACACUUUCUACUUGGGAGAUUCAGUCUUGUUGCCUGUUGUAGAUCUGUUUAAGUUGUUUAUAACCACAGGUUUCAUAUUGGUGGGUGAUACAUGUGCAGAAAUGUUGCCAUUUCAUCUACAUUUUCUAAUUUAUGGGACUAUGGUUCUCAAAGCAUUCCUUGAUUAUCCCCUAUAUAUCAAUAAUAUUUAUUGUUCUGCCUGUCCUUUUCAUCAUGAAUUUUGUUAGUUGCGAUUCUCUCUGUUUGCUAGUUUGUUCAGGAUUUGUUAAUCACGUUUAUCUUUUCAAAGAACCAUUGUUUGUUUCACUGAAUUCAUUUUAUUGCUCUUUCAGUCUCCAUGUCAUUGAUUUCUACCUUGAUUUUUUUUUUUUUCUUAUUUCUUUGCAUAGCUUGGGUUUUUCUUUAGUAGUUUGGGAUUUGACUUUUUGUUGUGUUUCUAAGACCAGGAAGUUUGUUAGUUGGUUAGAAAUGUCUGAUCUUGAAGAAAAUAUGUAAUAAAAAAAAGAAAAAA